UACGAAGGGAGCUAGCGUUGUUCGGAAUCACUGGGCGUAAAGCGCACGUAGGCGGAUGUGUCAGUCAGGGGUGAAAUCCCGGAGCUCAACUUCGGAACUGCCUUUGAUACAGCACAUCUGGAGUCCGGAAGAGGUGGGUGGAAUUCCUAGUGUAGAGGUGAAAUUCGUAGAUAUUCGGAGGAACACCAGUGGCGAAGGCGGCUCACUGGUCCGGUACUGACGCUGAGGUGCGAAAGCGUGGGGAGCGAACAGG
rnacentral:rRNA from 1 species